AUGUCCCAAAUGAAUGUAGCUUCAUAAAUACGAGUAAACAGCAUCAGCAGCAAGAGCAUCGGCUACACCAGCAACAACAGGUGCAGCAGCUACAACAAGAGCAACAGUUA